rnacentral:misc_RNA from 1 species
AAGUCGUAACAAGGUCUCCGUAGGUGAACCUGCGGAGGGAUCAUUACCAAAGAUGGCGGGCCUCCGGGUCCCCGUCCCCAACCCUUUGUUGACCAAAACCUUUUUGCCUCGGGGGCAUGAGCGUCCGCCGCCGCCCCCGGAGGACCACCGAACGCUGUCUCUUUACCUCGGAGUAUUGAUUAAAUACAUGAAAA